UCGCCUGUUUAACAAAAACAUGUCCGUAUGAAUUUAAUAUAAGGUCUAGCCUGCCCAUUGAAUAUUUGAAAGGCCGCGGUAAUUUGACCGUGCAAAGGUAGCAUAAUCAUUAGUUUUUUAAUUGAAAGCUUGUAUGAAAGGUUGAAUGAAAAAUAAACUGUCUUAUUUAUAAAAAUUGAAUUUAACUUUUAAGUGAAAAGGCUUAAAUACUAAAAAGGGACGAUAAGACCCUGUAAAACUUUAUAUAAAUUAGAUUUUUUAUUAUAAUUGUUUGUUUAGUAAGAAAUAAUUUAUUAAUAUUUUAUUGGGGCGAUAGGAAUAUAUAAGUAACUGUUCUUUUUAAUAACAAAUAUUGUUGAUUGAAAGGAUCCUUAAUAGAGAUUAUAAGACAAAGUUACUUUAGGGAUAACAGCGUAAUUUUUUUUAAGAGUUCAUAUCGACAAAAAAGAUUGCGACCUCGAUGUUGAAUUAAAAUUUCUUUAUGGUGCAGAAGCUAUAAAAGAAAGUCUGUUCGACUUUUAAAAUUUUACGUGAUCUGAGUUCACACCGGA
rnacentral:rRNA from 1 species